rnacentral:rRNA from 1 species
AGAAUCAACGCUGGCGGCGUGCCUAACACAUGCAAGUCGAACGCGAAAGUCCCGCAAGGGAUGAGUAGAGUGGCAAACGGGUGAGUAACGCGUGGGUGACCUGCCUUCAAGUGGGGGAUAACGUCCCGAAAGGGACGCUAAUACCGCAUAACAUCCUGCCUUCGAAGAGGCGGUGAUCAAAGCCGGGGAUCGCAAGACCUGGCGCUGGAAGAGGGGCCCGCGUCCGAUUAGCUAGUUGGUGGGGUAAUGGCUCACCAAGGCUUCGAUCGGUAGCCGGCCUGAGAGGGCGGACGGCCACACUGGGACUGAGACACGGCCCAGACUCCUACGGGAGGCAGCAGUGGGGAAUUGUUCGCAAUGGGCGCAAGCCUGACGACGCAACGCCGCGUGGAGGAUGAAGAUUUUCGGAUCGUAAACUCCUUUCGAUCGAGACGAAUGGCCUUUGGGUUAAUAACUCGAAGGAAUGACGGUACCGAGAGAAGAAGCCCCGGCUAACUCCGUGCCAGCAGCCGCGGUAAUACGGGGGGGGCAAGCGUUGUUCGGAGUUACUGGGCGUAAAGGGCUCGUAGGUGGCCAACUAAGUCAGACGUGAAAUCCCUCGGCUUAACCGGGGAACUGCGUCUGAUACUGGAUGGCUUGAGUUUGGGAGAGGGACGCGGAAUUCCAGGUGUAGCGGUGAAAUGCGUAGAUAUCUGGAGGAACACCGGUGGCGAAGGCGGCGUCCUGGACCAAUACUGACACUGAGGAGCGAAAGCCAGGGGAGCAAACGGGAUUAGAUACCCCGGUAGUCCUGGCCCUAAACGAUGAAUGCUUGGUGUGGCGGGUAUCGAUCCCUGCCGUGCCGAAGCUAACGCAUUAAGCAUCCG